rnacentral:rRNA from 1 species
UACGGGGGGGGGCAAGCGUUGUUCGGAAUUACUGGGCGUAAAGGGCUUGUAGGUGGCCAACUAAGUCAGACGUGAAAUCCCUCGGCUUAACCGGGGAACUGCGUCUGAUACUGGAUGGCUUGAGUGUGGGAGAGGGAUGCGGAAUUCCAGGUGUAGCGGUGAAAUGCGUAGAUAUCUGGAGGAACACCGGUGGCGAAGGCGGGUCUCUGGGCCAUAACUGACGCUGAGGAGCGAAAGCGUGGGGAGCGAACAGG